rnacentral:misc_RNA from 1 species
UCUCCGUUGGUGAACCAGCGGAGGGAUCAUUACAGAGUUCUCUAACUCAGAAACCCAUGUGAACUUACCAUUUGUUGCCUCGGCAGAGCCUACCCGGUAACUGUUCGGAGAAGCUACCCUGUAGCUACCCUGUAACGGCCUACCCUGUAAAGCACUGCCGGUGGACUUUUAAACUCUUGUUAUUUUAUAGUAAUCUGAGCGUCUUAUUUUAAUAAGUAAAAACUUUCAACAACGGAUCUCUUGGUUCUGGCUUCGAUGAAGAACGCAGC